rnacentral:rRNA from 1 species
GCUUACGGCCAUACCACCCUGUCUGUACCCGAUCUCGUCUGAUUGCGGAAGCUAAGCAGGUUCGGGCGUGGUUAGUACUUGGAUGGGGGACCUCCUGGGAAUACCAGGUGCUUUAACGU